UUGUCUCAAAGAUUAAGCCAUGCAUGUCUCAGUACAAGCCGAAUUAAGGUGAAACCGCGAAAGGCUCAUUAAAUCAGUUAUGGUUCCUUAGAUCGUACACACAUUUACUUGGAUAACUGUGGUAAUUCUAGAGCUAAUACAUGCAAACAGAGCUCCGACCGGAGACGGAAGGAGCGCUUUUAUUAGAUCAAAACCAAUCGGUGGCGAUUUCCGUCGUCAUCGUACAACUUGGUGACUCUGAAUAACUUUACGCUGAUCGCACGGUCUUGCACCGGCGACGCAUCUUUCAAAUGUCUGCCUUAUCAACUGUCGAUGGUAGGUUCUGCGCCUACCAUGGUUGUAACGGGUAACGGGGAAUCAGGGUUCGAUUCCGGAGAGGGAGCCUGAGAAACGGCUACCACAUCCAAGGAAGGCAGCAGGCGCGCAAAUUACCCACUCCCGGCACGGGGAGGUAGUGACGAAAAAUAACGAUACGGGACUCAUCCGAGGCCCCGUAAUCGGAAUGAGUACACUCUAAACCCUUUAACGAGGAUCAAUUGGAGGG
rnacentral:rRNA from 1 species